rnacentral:tRNA from 1 species
GUAGUCGUGGCCGGGUGGUUAAGGCGAUGUACUAGAAAUCCAUUGGGCUCUUCCCGCGCUGGAUCGAAUACUGCCGACUACG